rnacentral:rRNA from 1 species
UACGGAGGAUCCAAGCGUUAUCCGGAAUUAUUGGGUUUAAAGGGUGCGUAGGCGGCCUAUUAAGUCAGGGGUGAAAGACGGUAGCUUAACUAUCGCAGUGCCUUUGAUACUGAUGGGCUUGAAUGUACUUGAGGUAGGCGGAAUGUGACAAGUAGCGGUGAAAUGCAUAGAUAUGUCACAGAACACCAAUUGCGAAGGCAGCUUACUAAAGUAUGAUUGGCGCUGAGGCACGAAAGCGUGGGGAUCAAACAGG